rnacentral:rRNA from 1 species
AUUGAACGCUGGCGGCAUGCCUUACACAUGCAAGUCGAACGGCACCGGGGACUUCGGUCCGCCGGCGAGUGGCGAACGGGUGAGUAACGUAUCGGAGCGUACCAUUGAGUGGGGGAUAACGUAGCGAAAGUUACGCUAAUACCGCAUAUUCUCUCCGGAGGAAAGCAGGGGACCGCGAGGCCUUGCGCUCUUUGAGCGGCCGAUAUCAGAUUAGCUAGUUGGUGAGGUAAAGGCUCACCAAGGCGACGAUCUGUAGCGGGUCUGAGAGGAUGAUCCGCCACACUGGAACUGAGACACGGUCCAGACUCCUACGGGAGGCAGCAGUGGGGAAUUUUGGACAAUGGGGGCAACCCUGAUCCAGCCAUGCCGCGUGAGUGAAGAAGGCCUUCGGGUUGUAAAGCUCUUUCGGCCGGGAAAAAAUCGCAUGGGCUAAUACCCUGUGUGGAUGAUGGUACCGGAAUAAGAAGCACCGGCUAACUACGUGCCAGCCGCCGCUGUAAAAC